GUGUGUGUGUGUGUGUGUGCGCAGAGGCUCCACGGCGGUGGACGGCGCAGGCUUCGGUGUGGACCGACCCGCUGAACUCUCGAAGAGUGACGAUGAGUACGAUGCUUUCCGUAAGAGGAUGAUGCUGGCGUAUCGCUUCAGACCGAACCCUCUGAACAAUCCCAGGAGGCCGUACUACUGAACCAGCAGCAUCUCCUGUGUUUACUCGUAACCGGUUGAAUUGUGAUGUGCUUUAUUUCAGUCGUCACAGCCUCGAGCCCUUCGUGUGUUUCUGUUUGUUUAUUUAAAGAUGCUGAUUUAGUACAUUUAUUCAAAACUGUAAAAGCCCACACUAUAGUCAGCUGUGUGAUCUAAUAUUAACAUCGGUGCAAGUCCCUGGAUUGUGAUGAGCACAGAUAUUACAAAUGAAACCUGCUUCGACCUGCACAAACCGUCUCCGGCAUGUUGGGUUCGUUACAGUCCUGAUUAAACUCAUCCCUGUGUCCUUGACUCUGUGAGAUCAAUUAAACGUCUGUGCUUUGAAACG